UACAGGGGGUGCAAACGUUGCUCAGAAUCAUUGGGCGUAAAGCGCACGUAGGCGGUUUGUUAUGUCGGAUGUGAAAGCCCUUGGCUCAACUGAGGAAGUGCAUCCGAAACUGGCAAGCUAGAGUACUAAAGAGGGUCGCGGAAUUCCCGGUGUAGAGGUGAAAUUCGUAGAUAUCGGGAGGAACACCGGUGGCGAAGGCGGCUCACUGGCCCGGUACUGACGCUGAGGUGCGAAAGCGUGGGGAGCAAACAGG
rnacentral:rRNA from 1 species